CGGACGGGUGAGUAAUGUCUGGGAAACUGCCUGAUGGAGGGGGAUAACUACUGGAAACGGUAGCUAAUACCGCAUAACGUCGCAAGACCAAAGAGGGGGACCCUAGGGCCUCUUGCCAUCGGAUGUGCCCAGAUGGGAUUAGCUUGUUGGUGGGGUAACGGCUCACCAAGGCGACGAUCCCUAGCUGGUCUGAGAGGAUGACCAGCCACACUGGAACUGAGACACGGUCCAG
rnacentral:rRNA from 1 species